GAGGGCGCCAAACACAGUUUAAUUGCCAAACACGCAGCUGUCUUGGUCACUGUGUAUACUAAGUUUGUUUACUUUUCUGCGUUUGUGAUUAUGGAAUAUGGGUCUUUGGUUGAGACCCUCCCACUCCAGUUUCAUGCUCUUAUUUCAUUAUCAUAUUUCUAAUAUUCAUAGGACUGCAGACAUGGUGUACAACCUCUGUCUCUCCGUUCCUUUGGAAUAUUGAGGAGUCUUUGGAUGAACUCGCGUUUACUUCUGGCAAUAGCUAGCAAACCUUCAAGUGGGCUUGAUCAUCUUCUGUUGUUGGAUGAGCCAUAGGCAUAGCCAAUGUCAUCGCCGAUCGCAUCAUUUCGGAUGUCAUGACGGUGGUGCAGGAGGGAAGUCAACCAAAUUUCCAAAGCUGAUAAAAAUCAACCAGUCUAAGUAAGUUCUCUUGGUUGGAGAGUCAUUUGGGUGGUAACGAAGCAGUGGACGAGGCAAUCAAUCGAGCACACCAUUGAGACAUGGAUCAACCUCUACUGAUUGACGGAGCUGUGGUGACUAAGAUUGACACCAUUGAUGAUAAAAUUGAGUGAUAUUAAUAGCUUUUGAUAGUCACUCUAAUCUCUGCCUAUGCACCUACCCUGACGUCUACCCCAGAGUCUAAAGACGACUUCUAUCUUCAGCUUAGUGAGUUGUCGCACAAUAUCCCGGCUGGUGAUGGCAUCAUUCUCCUUGGGGACUUCAAUGCCCGCAUUGGUUCUGACUGCAGUGCGUGGAAGAAUGUAAUUGGCCCGCAUGGUGUUGGGAGAAUGAAAGACAAUGGUCAACGUCUCCUCGAGCUCUACGCUUCGUACAACCUAUGCAUUGCCAACACCUUCUUCGCAGGCUCUGUUCGCUCCAAGGUCACCUGGAAACACCCUCGCUCACAGCACUGGCACCAACUGGACCACAUCAUUGUCAGACAGAGACAACUGCGCGAUACCACCCACUGCUGCAGCUUGCAUUCUGCUGAUUGCAAUACAGACCAUGCCCUUGUUUGCUGUAAGCUUCAUUUACUACCCAAGAAGUUCCAUCGUGCAAUGCAUAGACCAUUGCCUGCUAUUGACACUGUCUCAACUCACGACAUCAGUCAUGUU